rnacentral:lncRNA from 1 species
AACAACAACAGGUCCUAUAUUUCCUCCGCCACCAAUUGUACAACCAAACCAGAUUCCUUCUCCAUCUAUGAAGACUCCUAAUUUACCAUCACCUGCUAAUGGAGUUAGAACUGGAAGCCCUGCUCCUCAUUUGAGUACCCCACCUGGACCUCCUGUGUUUUCGUCACCGCUCCAACCUGCUGCUGUUCCGUUCAGAACUUCUCCGGCCACCCCGCCCUCCUCAGCAAGGCACUGCCCAGUCACCAAUUUUUAGUCCUCCCCCAUUCCCAACAACAACAACAGGUCCUAUAUUUCCUCCGCCACCAAUUGUACAACCAAACCAGAUUCCUUCUCCAUCUAUGAAGACUCCUAAUUUACCAUCACCUGCUAAUGGAGUUAGAACUGGAAGCCCUGCUCCUCAUUUGAGUACCCCACCUGGACCUCCUGUGUUUUCGUCACCGCUCCAACCUGCUGCUGUUCCGUUCAGAACUUCUCCGGCCACCCCACAGCCUGUUGCCUAUUCCUCUGCUUCGUCUCUCCCCACUUCAUCACCUCCCCAGUUCUCGAAUGGCUCUGUUGAUCUGCAUCACCAGAGUUC